rnacentral:lncRNA from 1 species
CACAGGGGAAGAGGAUCUCCUGGGAAAGCCAUGAGAAAGGUCCAGACAGGAUGUCCCUUCCUCUGAGUAUUUUGGCUUUCUGCCUGUAUUUGGGCUCUGUGAUUACCUAAGAUUGUGAAGGAACAGCUCUACAGAAACAAAGGAGAAAAUGACAGAAGUAAAAGAAGGAGCAAAAGAAGGUAGAAAAGAAACAAGCUGGAGCUCUAUAUCUAGGCUAGUAGAAAAUUCAUGGAAGGAAAUUAUCCUCUGUGCAGCAC